AACAAGGCGUACCUGCGGACCUGCGGAGGGAUCAUUAUAGAGUUAUCAUAACUCCAAACCCAUGUGAACAUACCUAUUGUUGCCUCGGCAGGUCGUAGAUUGCCGGGAAAAGCCUACCCUUAACCGGGAGGCCUACCCGGGACCUGCGGUCAAGCCUGCCGGUGGCCCGCAAAACUCUGUUUAGCAUUGAAAUUCUGAAUCAUAGCUAAAUAAGUUAAAACUUUCAACAACGGAUCUCAG
rnacentral:misc_RNA from 1 species